AGUCGUAACAAGGUUUCCGUAGGUGAACCUGCGGAAGGAUCAUUAUUGAAUAUUCUUGAUGGGUUGUAGCUGGCUCUUCGGGGCAUGUGCACGCCUGUCUUGAUUCUAUUCAUCCACCUGUGCACCUUUUGUAGUCUUGGGGUUGAGAAGCGGUCAAAUAUCGGACGGUUAUUGUGGCUGUUCCGGAUGUGAGGAUUGCUGAGUGCGAAAGCAUACAGCUUUUCUCAAUGUGACUUGUAAACUCUCCCUCGAGCACUAUGUUUUCAUAUACCACAUAGUAUGUUGUAGAAUGUGAUCAAUGGGCCUAUGUGCCUAUAAUAAUCAUAUACAACUUUCAGCAACGGAUCUCUUGGCUCUCGCAUCGAUGAAGAACGCAGCGAAAUGCGAUAAGUAAUGUGAAUUGCAGAAUUCAGUGAAUCAUCGAAUCUUUGAACGCACCUUGCGCUCCUUGGUAUUCCGAGGAGCAUGCCUGUUUGAGUGUCAUUAAAUUCUCAACCCCUCCAGCUUUUGUGAGUUGCGAUGGGGCUUGGAAGUUGGGAGUUUGCGGGCCUUUGUAAUAAAGGUCGGCUCUCCUUAAAUGUAUUAGCGGAACCGUUUGCAGUCCCGUCACUAGUGUGAUAAUUAUCUACACUGUGAUGAUUGCUCUCUGGCUUGUUCAGCUACUAAUCGUCCUUACCGGACAAUAUAUAAUGAACAUCUUGACCUCAAAUCAGGUAGGACUACCCGCUGAACUUA
rnacentral:rRNA from 1 species